rnacentral:rRNA from 1 species
GACGAACGCUGGCGGCGUGGAUUAGGCAUGCAAGUCGAACGGUAGGAUCCUUUCGGGGAUCUGAGAGUGGCGAACGGGUGAGUAACACGUAGGUGAUCUACCCUCAAGACGGGGACAACCCAGGGAAACGUUGGGCGUAAUACCGGAUGUGAGCUAUCGCGAGAUAGUUUGAAAGGUGGCUUCGGCUGCCGCUUGAGGAUGAGCCUGCGUCCUAUUAGCUAGUUGGUGAGGUAACGGCUCACCGAGGCAGUGAUAGGUAGGCGGCCUUAACGGGUGGUCGCCCACACUGGGAUUGAGAUACGGCCCAGACUCCUACGGGAGGCAGCAGUCGAGAAUAGUCUACAAUGGUCGAAAGACUGAUAGUGCGACGCCGCGUGAACGAAGAAGCCCUUCGGGUGUAAAGUUCUUUUAUAUGUGAGCAGUGACACCCAUAUUAAUAGUAUGGGUGUAGAGAUAUUAGCAUAUGAAUAAGCAACGGCUAACUCCGUGCCAGC